rnacentral:rRNA from 1 species
GAUGAACGCUGGCGGCGUGCCUAAUACAUGCAAGUCGAGCGAACAGACGAGGAGCUUGCUCCUCUGACGUUAGCGGCGGACGGGUGAGUAACACGUGGAUAACCUACCUAUAAGACUGGGAUAACUUCGGGAAACCGGAGCUAAUACCGGAUAAUAUAUUGAACCGCAUGGUUCAAUAGUGAAAGACGGUUUUGCUGUCACUUAUAGAUGGAUCCGCGCCGCAUUAGCUAGUUGGUAAGGUAACGGCUUACCAAGACAACGAUGCGUAGCCGACCUGAGAGGGUGAUCGGCCACACUGGAACUGAGACACGGUCCAGACUCCUACGGGAGGCAGCAGUAGGGAAUCUUCCGCAAAGGGCGAAAGCCUGACGGAGCAACGCCGCGUGAGUGAUGAAGGUCUUCGGAUCGUAAAACUCUGUUAUUAGGGAAGAACAAAUGUGUAAGUAACUAUGCACGUCUUGACGGUACCUAAUCAGAAAGCCACGGCUAACUACGUG